rnacentral:rRNA from 1 species
AGCAGAGCUUGCUCUGUGGAUCAGUGGCGAACGGGUGAGUAACACGUGAGUAACCUGCCCUUGACUCUGGGAUAAGCGUUGGAAACGACGUCUAAUACUGGAUACGAACCGCGGAGGCAUCUUCAGUGGUUGGAAAGAUUUUUUGGUCAAGGAUGGACUCGCGGCCUAUCAGCUUGUUGGUGAGGUAAUGGCUCACCAAGGCGACGACGGGUAGCCGGCCUGAGAGGGUGACCGGCCACACUGGGACUGAGACACGGCCCAGACUCCUACGGGAGGCAGCAGUGGGGAAUAUUGCACAAUGGGCGCAAGCCUGAUGCAGCAACGCCGCGUGAGGGAUGACGGCCUUCGGGUUGUAAACCUCUUUUAGUAGGGAAGAAGCGUAAGUGACGGUACCUGCAGAAAAAGCACCGGCUAACUACGUGCCAGCAGCCGCGGUAAUACGUAGGGUGCAAGCGUUGUCCGGAAUUAUUGGGCGUAAAGAGCUCGUAGGCGGUUUGUCGCGUCUGCUGUGAAAACCCGAGGCUCAACCUCGGGCCUGCAGUGGGUACGGGCAGACUAGAGUGCGGUAGGGGAGAUUGGAAUUCCUGGUGUAGCGGUGGAAUGCGCAGAUAUCAGGAGGAACACCGAUGGCGAAGGCAGAUCUCUGGGCCGUAACUGACGCUGAGGAGCGAAAGCGUGGGGAGCGAACAGGAUUAGAUACCCUGGUAGUCCACGCCGUAAACGUUGGGAACUAGAUGUGGGGGCCAUUC